rnacentral:rRNA from 1 species
GACGAACGCUGGCGGCGUGCCUAAUACAUGCAAGUCGAACGCUGUUGCGAACGGGGGAGUAACGCGUAGGUACCUGCCUUAACGUGGGGAUUAACUAGUGGAAACGAUAGCUAAUACCGCAUACUGCGAGAUGCUUUUGCGUUGGAUUAGCUAGUUGGUGAGGUAAAGGCUCACCAAGGCGACGAUACAUAGCCGACCUGAGAGGGUGAUCGGCCACACUGGGACUGAGACACGGCCCAGACUCCUACGGGAGGCAGCAGUAGGGAAUCUUCGGCAAUGGACGGAAGUCUGACCGAGCAACGCCGCGUGAGUGAAGAAGGUUUUCGGAUCGUAAAACUCUGUUGUUAGAGAAGCGGUAUCUAACCAGAAAGCCACGGCUAACUACGUGCCAGCAGCCGCGGUAAUAC